GUAUUUGCUUCGGCAGCACAUAUACUAAAAUUGGAAUGGUACAGAGAAGUUUAGUAUGGCCCCUGCGCAAGCAUGACAUGCAAAUUCGUGAAGCAUUCCCUAUUUUU